UACGGGGGGAGCAAGCGUUGUUCGGAUUUACUGGGCGUAAAGGGCGCGUAGGCGGCCAGCACAAGUCAGUUGUGAAAUCUCCGGGCUUAACUCGGAAAGGUCAACUGAUACUGUGCGGCUAGAGUGCAGAAGGGGCAACUGGAAUUCCCAGUGUAGCGGUGAAAUGCGUAGAUAUUGGGAGGAACACCAGUGGCGAAGGCGGCUCACUGGACCGGAACUGACGCUGAGGCGCGAAAGCGUGGGGAGCAAACAGG
rnacentral:rRNA from 1 species